rnacentral:rRNA from 1 species
UGGGGAAUAUUGCGCAAUGGGGGAAACCCUGACGCAGCGACGCCGCGUGGGUGAUGAAGGCCUUCGGGUCGUAAAGCCCUGUCGGGAGGGAAGAAAAAAUCCGGACCUAAUACGUUCGGGAAUUGACGGUACCUCCUAAGGAAGCACCGGCUAACUCCGUGCCAGCAGCCGCGGUAAUACAGAGGAUGCGAGCGUUAAUCGGAUUGAUUGGGUGUAAAGGGUGUGUAGGUGGUGAACUAAGUCGAAUGUGAAAUCCCUUGGCUUAACCAAGGAACUGCAUUCGAAACUGGUUUGCUUGAGCGUCAGAGAGGAAGAUGGAAUUCACGGUGUAACAGUGAAAUGUGUAGAUAUCGUGAGGAACACCAGUGGCGAAGGCGAUCUUCUGGCUGACUGCUGACACUGAAACACGAGAGCAAGGGGAGCAAACAGGAUUAGAUACCCCCGUAGUCCCUGAGCGGGCUGGCAAGGCGCAU